rnacentral:rRNA from 1 species
UGGCGGCGUGCCUAAUACAUGCAAGUCGAGCGCAGGAAAUCGACGGAACCCUUCGGGGGGAAGUCGACGGAAUGAGCGGCGGACGGGUGAGUAACACGUAAAGAACCUGCCCUCAGGUCUGGGAUAACCACGAGAAAUCGGGGCUAAUACCGGAUAGGUCAUCGAACCGCAUGGUUCGAGGAUGAAAGGCGCUUCGGCGUCGCCUGGGGAUGGCUUUGCGGUGCAUUAGCUAGUUGGUGGGGUAAUGGCCCACCAAGGCGACGAUGCAUAGCCGACCUGAGAGGGUGAUCGGCCACACUGGGACUGAGACACGGCCCAGACUCCUACGGGAGGCAGCAGUAGGGAAUCUUCCACAAUGGACGAAAGUCUGAUGGAGCAACGCCGCGUGAACGAUGAAGGCUUUCGGGUCGUAAAGUUCUGUUGUAAGGGAAGAACAAGUGCCGCAGGCAAUGGCGGCACCUUGACGGUACCUUGCGAGAAAGCCACGGCUAA